AUACGCUGUACAUGCAACUACAUGUUGUCUCAUUACUUUAGUCUACUUUUCUUAAAAAGUGUGAUGAUUGUCGCUAACAAUGUUGGAAAGAUUCCAACAGAAAAUAAAUUUCUUUGUAGUGAACCCUCUAAUCAAAAAGAAAAGAGAAUCAUUUAUUCAUCAUUGAUUAAAUCUAUUUAAGAGUUAAUCUUUGUUGAUAAUCUUCAGUGUAAACUCUAUUAUUUUUUGCUUCAUUGCCAGGAUUUAUGCACUUUUCCCAUGGCAUAAUAUAAGAAUCAAAAUCAAUUUAUUGGAUCACAAUCAUAUCUGGGAGUAUUUGCACCACUUUAAGUGAUCUUGUAUAGUUGGAAUGUUACAUUUCACUUUAAUUGCUUUGCUGAACGUACGGACUAAGAAAAUUUCAGUUUCUCCUGUCAUCAAUAAAUGUUAUAAUAUUUAGAUUAUUGAAUUCAGUAAAAGUUCAAAACAUAUGAGAGCACUAACCAUGUUUCGGCUCCUUGACUGAGGACGUACGAACUUGCAAAAAGCACGAGCGUAGAAGCGAAAGAAGGAGCGAGAGGAUUAAGCUUCCAAGUGCGGCAACUAGGAACAUCUCGAUCGGUGAUUUGAAGUGUGUUUUUCAAUAGCAUGGUGCAUGGAUACUUGCACGUGUUCCCCCGAUGCAACGGACACUAUUUAAUUGUCAUAGAACUACAUACAAGGCUCUCAUGCAAAAAAGGUUUUAUCAGGCAUGAAGGUGGCGUGGGCCAGCAAGGAGUCUGGGGGUUCAGCAGGACAUCCUUGCAGGAGUAGUCGAGCAGAGGCUGACACUAGCCAAUAUGACCAGCAUUGCCGCAGAUCGCCUCCAUGUGGGCUGCUGUUGCAAAGUCACGGUGCUGCACCUCAGCGAAUUCAGCAGGAGCAAUUCAUUCCCCACCCAAGUGUUUAUUAUUGAUCAUUGCUGCUUCAUCUGUUUAUUCUCAUCUAACUAAUAUAUUUACGGACUUUUUGUAUGUUUGGCUAAUUCUUCUUUAUCUUAUGGGGCUUUGCUGUGAAAGAAAGAUGAAGUUCAAAGAGUUCAAUUUAGAGUUAGUGUAGUUUCCCCGGAAGAAAAAAGAGAGAAUUGGUGCAGUGUCUCAUGCCUAUUGGACUCAAUCUAUUACGCUCACUAAGUAUAUACAUGUAUGCUGCAGAGACGUGGUCACAUGGUUGAUUAACAUCUUUUGGCAACAUCAUGUUAAUUCAAUGAAAAAGUUCUACUACACCUAUGACUAUGAACGUAGAUGUGCACUCUUGAUUUUUGAGGACUACUUUAGGAUGUGAUCAUUGGUGUUGCUUCACACUUUCUAGACAACAUAACAUUUUAUUGUUACUAAUGUGAAAAUCCAACUUACUAUUUUUCUAUUACAGUGUGUUCAGCCACUAUCAGACUUUGGUGGCAUGCUCCAGCUGCCAAACUAUGCUCUGCCAACCUACCGAUGGAAAGGCGAGGCUCACCAAGGGAUGCCUUAUUAUGGCAAAAAAUGAAGCCCUUCUUAAGAUUGUUUACUACUACGUAUCCUCGAUGUGGGGAGACCGACCACAAGAGGAGUCAGGAGCAAGCAAAUUACUUUGACAUUUAGCAUAUAUUUACUAGAGUUUCAGAAGGUCAAUAAUACCCAAUGCAUUGCCUUCCAUGACCUACCUUGGUCUAUUCUCAUGGGUGAUCUGCUAACUCAUUUUAAUUCGGUGCCUAGGUACUAUUUCCUUCGGCAUUCUGUUUUAUAAUAUUUAGUACCAUUGGUGCAACUUAAUAUGCAAAGCCUGAGCUUUGUUCAAGUUGCCAAGCAAAUGCCUGUGCUAAUUCUCACA